rnacentral:rRNA from 1 species
AUUGAACGCUGGCGGAAGGCCUAACACAUGCAAGUCGAACGAGUGGCGGACGGGUGAGUAAUGUCUGGGACACUGCCUGAUGGAGGGGGAUAACUACUGGAAACGGUAGCUAAUACCGCAUACCAUCAGAUGUGCCCAGAUUGGAUUAGCUUGUUGGUGGGGUAACGGCUCACCAAGGCGACGAUCCCUUGUUGGUCUGAGAGGAUGACCAGCGACACUGUAACUGAAACACGGUCCAGACUCCUACGAGAGGCAGCAGGGGGGAAUAUUGCACAAUGGGCGCAAGCCAGAUUCAGACAUGCCGCGUGUAUGAAAAAGUCCUUCGGGUUGUAAAGUACUUCCAGCGGGGAGGCGUUACACGGAGAAGAAGCACCGGCUAACUCCAUGCCAGCAGCCGCGGUAAUUC